UUGCACUCCAGCUUGGGCAACAAGAACAAAACUCCAUCUCAAAAAAAAAAAAAAAAACAUAUUUGGGCCAGGCGCAGUGGCUCAUACCUGUAAUCCCAGCACUUUGGGAGGCCAAGGCGGCCCAAUUGCUUGAGCCCAGGAAUUCAAGACCAGCCUGAGCAACAUGGUGAAACCCCGUCUCUACAAAAAAUACAAAAAUUAGCCGGACAUGAUGGUGCGCACCUGUAAUUCCAGCCACUCAGGAAGGUGAAGCAGGAGGAUCACCUGAACCCAGAGAGGUCAAGGCUGCAGUGAGUCGUGAUCAUGCCACUGCACUCUAGCCUGGGUGACAGAAGGGGACCCUGCCUCAAAAAGAGAUUUGUCUUCUGAUGAGAAAGCAGGAAUGUUGAGAAAAGGGCAAAAAAUUGAUAUAAUAGAGGGAAGAAUGGCCAAUGUCCUUAGAGGCCAGGUGCAGUGCAUGUAAUCCCAGCACUUUGGGAGACUGAGAUGGGAAGAUCGCUUGAGGCCAGGAGUGCAAGACCAGCCUGGGCAACACAGCAAGACCUUGAUUCUACUAAAAAAAAAAAAGGAUCCUUCAACUUCAACAAUAAUAACACAAGGGAAGUGAAGAAAAACACUUUCUAAGGAAAUCUCUCUCUGAGCUACCAUCCUGCUAGGGAGAGCCUGAAAGCAGAAUGCUGACUUGACUAGCUCUGGUCAAUGAAAGAAAUCACCAGUGGAAAGGCUACCAGGGGGCUUUCUCAAAAGAGAGGGACAGUAAACUGCAAGAUGAACAACUCAAUGCCAUCCAGGUCUGGAUGAGAAAGAACAGUCGAGAGACUGAGUUUCAGGAGUGGAAACACUCAAAGCAUCAUCUUCCACUUUCUUCUCCGGCUGCUAGGAAGAAGGGAAAAACACAGACCUUCUGAGGACCUGCGGAGCAAACCACUGGCUUCAGAAAAGCAAACAGGGACUUCCCUCUGCGCAGCAGGAAGCAGUUAGCCUAGUCGGAGGCUUGACUGAAGAAACAAAUGAGGGAAGGCAGAAGUUGAGACGCAGCCAGUAGAGGAAACUCCGGGAGAGGCAGGCAGCGUCACUUGAAGAAAAGCUCUAUUGUGAUGGGAACAAUCACAGGAACUAAGCGGCAACAAAAUGGCUCCCCACCCCCUCUGCAAAUCCCAACUCCAUGCAAGCACUCUCCCUUCCCUCAUUUUCUUUUCUUUUUUUUUGAGAUGGAGUCUCGCUCUGUUGCCCAGGCUGGAGUGCAGUAGCGCGAUCUCGGCUCACUGCAACCUCCACCUUCUGGUUUCAAGCAAUUCUCCUGCCUCAGCCUCCCCAGUAGCUGGGACUACAGGCGUGUGCCACCACGCCUGGCUAAUUUUUUUUUUUAAUUUUUAGUAGAGACAGAGUUUCACCAUGUUGGCCAGGCUGGUCUCGAACUCCUGGCCUCAAGUGAUCCACCUGCCUCAGCCUCCCAAAGUGGUGGGAUUACAGGUGUAAGCGACCACGCCCGGCCUUUUAAAAUCGACUUGAGUCUCAUCUCCUGAAAUGCAAAAUGCAUUGGGCCUGUCUCUUACUUCUGCAUGUCUCAUAAUGCUUAGCACAGCACAAGCCCCGAGAGCGCAUCAUACACCCUGGGGUGGGGAGCUCCUGGCAGGGCUGGAUCCACUCACCAUUCCUGCCAUCCAUUGGCACUUGGCUCAGCACAGUUAGGCCAACAAGGACAUAAUAGACAAGUCCAAAACAGUACUGCACGACGUGAAUCAUGACAUUGGAGAAGACACUGACGUAGAGGCACUCGAAGAGUCUUCGUAAGCUGUGCAGCCACAGAAAUACUAGCACUAAGAAUGCAGACAGUGCCAGCUCCCCUCCUACAAUUCAGAAGGCAACAGGGUCAGCAUUUCUCUUCUGGGAUUAAUCCAAAGUUUUGUUUUUCUGUACUGUUAAGCAAAGUAUUAAAUCCCAUCUAACAUC
rnacentral:lncRNA from 1 species